CACGGAAAUAUGACUUUUAUUUUCGAGUGGUGAAAAUAAUAUUUUACGAACGAGCGCAGCGAGUGAGUAAAAUAUUGUUUUCAACACGAGAAAAUAAAAGUCAUAUUUCCAAAGCCACCGUGAAAUGUUCUUUUUAUUAUAUGGAUAAAAGUUGAAGCAAAAACAACAAAACGUAUGACUUUAUUAGUUUAUUCAAGUUUUGUUUUUUGUUUUGUAUCUCACCGUACGGCAACAAUGUUUAUGCCUCUCCGCUUGCUAAUCGAGGCUAAAUAGUCGCUGAAGAUCGCCAAAUGGGACUAAUUAGUCUUCCCUUUUGUGUUUUCAUUUUCUUCAGAAAACCUUGCCAAAUCAGCGUCGAAAACAUCAACAAAAUGUCGAGAAGUUAUCAUAUUGUAUAUUCAAAACAGAAACGGCAAAAUGGCGGGAAUUAGCGUGGGUCCCGCGCGAGACGUUCCCGCGUAAGAUAUGAUUUCAUAUUUCACUAUAGUGAAAUACGGAAAAUAUCAGUGGCGUAUUUUACGG